rnacentral:ncRNA from 1 species
CGGCUUCACUACGGGCGCGGAGUCACACAGCCAUCUUAGAUCCAACUUCUUUCGAGAAGAGAUCUCUGGUCCUGUUGAGACGAAGCUGAGAUUGCACCGUAAUACUCGAUCAAGUUAAUGCUUGCGUGGGAAAGUGUCUGCCGCUUUGA